GGGCAGACACACUGAAGUCGCUAGACAUUUGAGGAACACAUCCGGGGAAGAAGACACAGGUGGCUGGUCAUGGAGAGCCCGCUGGGGGAAGAGCACACAGACAGGCACCGGCAGGCCAUUGACCAGCGGGACAAGGUGGGCUCAAUGUCAUCACAAGGGUGCUUAAGAGGGAAAGAGGAAGCCAUGAGGGUCAGAGUCAAAGGAAGACUUGAAGAUACUACACUGCGGACUUUAAAGAUGAAGGAAGGGGCGAAAACCAAGAAUGUGGGAAGCCUCUAGAAGCUAGAGAAGGCAAGGAAACAAAUUUUCCACUAGAGCCUCCAGAAGGAACACAGCCCUGCUGACCCACUGUAAUGUCUGACCUCUAGAUGUGUAAGGGUAGUAAGACUGAAAGUCUCAGAAAGGCACUGUUAAAUUCUUAUUCCUCAACUAUGCAACUCAAAACUGGGGUCCUCAGCAGUGAGCGAGGGGUGAGAGAAGACACUGUAUAAACAUGGCACAUCCUCCUGGAAAGUCAACUUUACUCAAAGGUUCUUACACACAGUGACAGCUAGCAGAGUCUAAAAUGCUGACAUUAUGACUUAGAGAUGUGAUAAAGAGAAACAUCUAUUGCAUUUUCUGGAGUUCUAUCCCAUUCGGCUAAAGAAUUGGAAGCUCAGAGAUAUUAUCGUGUGCUUCCUGAGGUUGACUUCAGAUCGAUGUGGAUGUACACUUGGACCAAGUUCUACAUUAGGAACACUUUAAGUGAUUGAUCUAGAGGUGCCCCUGCUGUGAAAAUGGAAAGAAAUGUAAUGUUUUGGUCAUGGGAGAGCUGCCAAUUCCACAGUACCAGCACAGUUGGGAACAUGACCUAAUGGUGUGCUACCAUGCAGCUCUUUCCAGCUCCAUGUUCAGUGACUUCAUAUUGAUGUUCAACCAGCCUUGCAUACCAGGGAUGAAGCUGGCUUGAUCGUGGUGAAUAAGCUUUUUGAUGUGCUGCUGGAUUCGGUAUGCCACUAUCAUCACAAUGAUAGUUAUGUAAUGAAAAUUAUAAUACGUUCAACGGAAAAUUACAAGUUGUUAUGAGAGCAUGUGACUUGAGAUCAAUCUAGUAGAAGGAGUAACAUGGAGCAGUCUAGAAAGGUUUCUUUGAAAAAGAGACAUUGAGCUUGAGGCCUGAAUGGGAGUAGCCAGGAAAAGAGUAUGCAGAAGACCAUAUCUGGAAUCCCUGAGUUGGUGAAGCCAAAGAAGAAGCACAAACCUUAAAUUAUAGGCAUCUAACUUUGAAAUUACUCGAAGAAGCAAUAUUUUACCAUUAUUUUUACUAUUGUUAUCAGCACCAAUCGAGUCUCUACCCACUGGGCAUAAAUUGAGACAAGAUCAAGAUAUUUAAAAAUAUUUUUCAACCCAUCAGAUUAAUCAAGAAUUUGGUUGAUGUAUACUAUAGGAUAUAGUUUAGCAUUUGUGCCUCAAUUGCAAUAUAGUUAUAAUUUAUUCUCAGCCUUAGUUUUUAUACAUUUUCAUUCUGAGAAAAUUCCACCAGGAUUUGGAAGAUACCUUAUUUAAUUCAAUACUGGGCUCUCAUUCAGUUACUUUUUUUCACCUGAGAAAUUAAUAUAUUUCAACUAUUCAGUGGUUGGAUAUGGAGAGAUGAUCACUGAAUUUUCCUUCAAGCUCCUGGUUUCUUAGAGAAUUAUUUGGACACUCUGUUGAGUUAUUAUUUGAUGGAAGGAGUAGAAAUUCACUCAAAAAAGCUUACAUGAGACCAUAAAAACUUACGAGAGUAUAUGGAGGCCUCAGAAAAGCUCAAAAUGCUUUCAACUUUGAAGAAAUAUCACUUUUCAGUGAAAAUGGAGCCCUCACUAAGUUGUUUAUUCUUUUUCUGUUUCAAAUUUUACAUUUUUAAGAUAAUAAUAGUGGUAAAAAUAUAGCUUCUCUAUAGAAGUUCAUCAAUUUCUCUAGUUUUGGGUGAAAAAGAAAUCUGUGAGAUCCUUUGUCAGGUAUAACCUGUGUUUAUGUCUGACACUUUAGAACACUGCAUGGUUCUCUUCUGGGAUAUUUAGUUUUGUGUAUAUUAAUAUAGAAUGAAACUCUCUCAGGAUAGGAAUCUCUAAAAGUAAUAGAAAUAUAAUAAAAUAUUUUAAUCUGUCUCUAAAAAAAUUAGUUUGGAAACAAAGGAUUACCCUCAUUGUACAGUAGAGUACAUUUGAAUUUAUGUAAAUAUAUUUUAUUGUGCUGGCCUCUGGGCAUUUUUAUUCAGCUAUAAUUAACACACAAUUCACAGAUCUUAAGUCUUCCGUUUAAUGAUUUUUGACAAUUGUAUAAGCUCAUAUAAUGAUCACUCUAAACAAGAUAUAGAAUAUUUCCCAGAAAGUGUCCUCAUGACCUUUUCCAUCCAAUUUCCCUUGUGAAAUUAUUAUCUAAUUUCUAUCACAAUGGAUUAGUUAUAUAUAUUUGGAUUUCAUAUAAAUGGAUCACACAGCAUGUAUUUUUCAGGUUCUGAUUUCUUUCGCUUAACAAAAUAUUUUUGAGACUUUUGCAUGACAAGCAGUUCAUUCAACUUUUAUUGCUGAGAAGUAUUACAUUUCAAACAUAUACCACAAUGUAUUUAUUAACAAAUUGAGCAUAUUUUGUUUCUGCUUUUUAACUAUUAAUAAUAAUGCUGCUAUAAAGAUGUACAUGUAGGUCUUUGUAUGAACAUAUGUUUUUAUUCCAAACCACUGAGUAGGAUUGCUUGGUCAUCAGCUGAGAAUGUUUAUAAGAAACAGCCAAACCGAGGAAUUUGUAUCAUUUUACAUUUCCACCAGCAAUGUAUGAGAGUUCCAGUUUCUCUAUAUUCUCAACAAUUUUUUUUUAAUAUUAGCCUUUCUUAUGGAUGUGAAGUGUUAACUCAUUGUGGAUUUUUUUCAUGUACCUAUUGACUGUUAAUAUCUCUUCUUUUGUGAGGUAUAUGUUAGUCCUUUCCUCCAUGUUUAUUAGGCCAUCCAUCUUUUAUUAAUUUUUAGGAGUUCUUUAUAUAUCUAGAUGCAAUUCAUUUGUCAAAUAUAUAUAUAUAUAUACUAUCAAAUGUAUGUAUUGUGUUUUCAAUCUGUUGCCUGUUUACUCAUUUUCUUAAGCUAUCUCUUAAUUAAUAAACUAUAUUUUCAUAGCAGUUUUAAGCUUAAAGAAAAAUUGAGCAGAAAGUACAGAAUGUUCCCAUAUAGAUGCCCCCCACCUGCCACAUCCUUACACAGUUUCUCCUAUUUCUAACACCUUGUGUUAGUAUGGUCCAUUUGUUAAAACUGAUGAGCCAAUAUUGAUGCAUUAUUGUUAAAUAAAGUUCAUGGUUUACAUUAGGGUUCAUUCUUUGCACUGUACAUUUGUAAGUUUUGACAAAUGUACAAUGACAUGUGCCCACCAUUACAGUAUUAUAUAGAAUGGUUUCACUGCCCUAAAAAUACCCCGUGCUCCACCUAUUCAUCCCUCCCUCUUUCACCCAGAAUCCCUCAUAACCACUUAUCUUUUUACUGUCUCUGUAGCUUUUGCCUUUUUCAGUAUGUCAUAAAGUUGGGAUCAUACAGUAUGUAGUUUUUUCAGAUUGACUUUUUUCAUUCAGCAAUAUGCAUUUAAGAUUCCCCUAUGUCUUUUAAUGACUUGAUAGCUUAUUUCCUUUUAUUACUGAAUAAUAUACCAUUAUAGCUAUAUAUUAUACUACAGUUUGUCUGUCCAUUCAUCUAUUGAAGGAUAUCUUAGCUACUUUCAAUUAUGAAUAAAGCUGCUAUAAACAUCUGUGUGCACAUUUCUAUGUGGAUAUAAGUUUUCAACUCCUUUGGGCAAAUACCAAGGAGCAUAUUUGCUGGAUUAUAUAAUAAGGGUAUGUUUAGUUUGGUAAGAAGUUGCUAAGCUGUCUUCCAAAGUGGCUGUUUCAUUUUGCAUUCCUACAAGAAAUGAGUAAGAGUUCCUGUUGCCUCACAUCCUUGCUAGCAUUUGAUGUUAACAGUGUUUUGGAUUUCAGUCAUUCUAAUAGGUGUGCACUGGUAUUUUGUUUUGAUUUGCAAUUCCCUGAUAGUAUUCAAUGGUGAGUAAUAUUUCAUAUGCUUUUUUGCUAUCUGUAUCUGCAUUGUUGGCGGGGUGACUGUUUAGAUCUUUUGCCUGUUUUUUAAUCAGAUUGUUUACUUUCUUGUUGUUGAGUUUUAAAAGUUCUUUUUAUAUUUUGGAUACUUGUCCUUUAUCAGAUACAUAUUUGGAAAGAUUUUUCCAAGUCUGUGCUUUGUCCUUUCAUUCUAAUAGCUGUCUUUUGCAGAGAAGUUUUAAAAUUUUAAUGAAGUAUAAUGUAUCAGUUUUUUCUUUCAUGGAUUAUGCUUUUCAUAUUGUAUCUAAAAAAAAUCAACAAACCCAAGGUCACCUAGAUUUCCCCCCAUGUUAUGUAAUAGUUUUAUAGUUUUGCCUGUAAGUCUUGAGUUAAUUUUGAGUUACUUUUUAUGAAAGAUGUAAGAUCUGUGUCUAGAUUCUUGGGAUUUUUUUGGAUGUAGAUAGUUGAUAGUUCCAGCACCAUUUGUUGAAGCUCUGUCCUUUCUUCAUUUAAUACUUUGUUCCUUUGUCAAAGAUCGGUUGACUAUAUUUAUGCAGGUAAGCUACUAAGCUCCCUAUUCUGUUCCAUUCAUCUGUUCAUCUAUUCUUUCACUAAUACCACACUUUCUUGAUUGACGUAGCUUUAUAAGCAAUUCUUGAAGCUGGGUUAUAACCGUCCUCUGAAUUUGUUGUCCUUCAAUAUUUGGGUCUAUUGGCCUUUCCAUGUAAACUUUAGAAUCAUUUGUUGAUAGACACAAAAUAAUUUGCUUACAUUUUGUUUGGGAUUACAUUGAAUCUGUAGAUCAGAUUGGGAAAGACUGACAUUUUGGCAAUAUUGAGACUUCUUAUCCAUAUAUAUGGAGUAUUUUUUCUUAUAUUUAGCUCUUUUUUAUUUCCUUCAUCAAAGUUUUAUAGUUUUCCUCAUAGAGAUCUUAAAUAUACUUGUUAGAUUUAUAUCUAAGUAUUUAAUUUUGUGUUAAUAUAAAUGUUAUGCUUUAAACUUCAAAUUCUAUGUGUUCAUUAUUGGCAUAUAAGAAAGCAAUUGAUUUUUGUACAUUAAUCUUAUUCCCUGCAAACUUGCUGUAAUCACUUAUUAGUUCCAGGAAGUUUUUUGUUGAUUGGGAUUUUCUAUAUGUAGACAACUGUGUCAUCUGUGAAUAAAGACAUUUUUUUUUCCUUCCCAAA
rnacentral:lncRNA from 1 species